AAGAGCUUGCCGACCCAGAAAGGACAGGAGCGCUCGGGCUGUCAUGCGCUGCGGUUGUCGGCUCUGCGGACCGAGCGACACUUGGCUGGAAUAACAAAAAAAAAAAAAAAAACCUGCUGCUCACACUUAGAAAACGAUCACGGUGCGCGCGCUGAAAGCCAGAGGGGAAAGACUGUGUUAUUACUGCGAAGACUGAGAAAAAAAUGCUCUUCUAGCGCGAGCGCGAAUGACAUUAUCGCCUGCGGUUUUGCUUCAGUUUUUCUCGAACUUGGAAACAUUUGGACGCAGAAGAAGUUUUUUCUUUCUUUCCGUGUUUACCUGACGUUUGUUUGUUUGUUUGUUUGUUUGUUUGUUUGUUUGUUUGAGUCGCCCCACUUGGAGCCCGAAGCUGAGGACGAGAGAUGGGGAGCGAGAAGUACUUGCCGGAGCUUAUGGCAGAGAAGGACACGCUGGAUCCGUCUUUUCAGCACUCCCUCCGGCUACUGGAUCAAGAGAUCGAAAAAAUUCAGAGAGACGACGGGAAGGAGGAGGAGAAGUUCAUUGAUGUCGUGAUCAACAAGAACAUGAAACUGGGCCAGAAAGUUUUAAUACCAGUCAAGCAGUUUCCUAAAUUUAACUUUGUGGGCAAACUCCUCGGGCCACGUGGGAACUCGUUAAAAAGACUACAGGAGGACACCCUCACAAAGAUGUCAAUCCUUGGAAAAGGAUCCAUGCGAGACAAAGAGAAGGAAGAGGAGCUACGACAGAGCGGCGAGGCCAAAUAUCACCACCUGAAUGAAGACCUGCACGUCCUCAUCGAGGUGUUCGCCCCGCCGGCCGAGGCCUACGCCAGGAUGGGUCAUGCUCUGGAGGAGAUCAAGAAGUUUCUUAUACCAGAUUACAAUGAUGAGAUCAGACAGGCCCAGCUGCAGGAGCUCACAUACCUGAAUGGCGGCUCUGAGGAUGCCAAGGUGCCAUCGGUCAGGGGCAAGUCGGCCGCCCGUGGAAGAGGGACACCUGUUUCAGGGCCUCCCAGGAGUCGUGGAGGAGUACCUUCCCUGCAUGCAGCAGUGCCUCGAGGAGCAGCACCACGAGGAGCCCCACUCAGCCGGGUACCAUCUUCCAGAGGCAGGGGGGUCCAGAGAGCCAGAGGGGCUCCUCCAGCUACCGGCUACAGACCGGCUCCUCCCAUAGUCCAGGACACAUAUGGUGAAUAUGAAUAUGAUGAUGGCUACGGAGCAGCUUAUGAUGACCAAGGAUAUGAAUCAUAUGACAACAACUACAGCAAUCAAGGACAAAACUCAGAUGAUUACUAUGAAUACGGACACAGCGGGGAGUCGUAUGAUUCGUACGGUCAGGAAGAGUGGGCAAACAAUCGCGGGAAGGCUCCGUCGGCACGAGCAGCCAAGGGAGUGUUCAGAGAUCAGCCAUACUCCAGAUAUUGAACUGUUUAUACAACUCGCACCCAAGUCGCCAUGGCUGUUCCAACCCAAGCUCAAGUCACACAGUGCACAGUGCCAUCUGUCCAGUUGUUUCGCUGGUGCUAACGACUUGAUGAAUCACACAAAAGCUUCUCUCCAAACAAUCAACCCCAAACAACAGCAGACUGAAUCCUGAUGAAAAGAGCUAUCCAAACAGUGGACUUUCAUAUUUUCACAGUCUGGACCGAGGUGAAUCCUGCAGGGGGGGACAAGAUGGAGUGACCUGGAUAAAGAUGCUGAAAUGGGGGGAAAGAUAUUACAUGUAUCACACCUUAUCAUUCUCCAGAGAAAGACGGGAGGAGAAGAAAGUUGUGAAGCAAAUGGAGUUCCUUAUCCUCUGGGACUUUUGAGGAAAAUUUCCUUCAGAGCUUCACAUACUCUUUAUACCUUCUGCAUACACACAGGAGUGCUUUGAACCAACUGUGAACCUGAACUGUCUUCACUGAUUCAGACUGUUGUAGGAGAGGGUGUGUGUAUCUUUUAUGUUAGACGUUAACUGCUACCUGCUAGGAGGGAUGACUGAAUAAAUAACAGCAUAUGUCAUGAGAAGUUUGAUACACUUCUGGCAAAGCUCAUUCAUCUUUAUCCAAUCUGCCCCAAUGAAUGAAUAAUUUACUAAGUGCCUUAUUGUUGCAUUGUUGUGACAGUUUUAUUUGCUUAGUCCCAUUGUUGGUACUAAAAUAUAGCAGCACACACAAGAUUUUUUUCCUCUUUUAUGCAGCUUUUUGUGGUUUUUUGCAUCCCUGCGAUGCUGGAAAACAACUCCCACCCUCACACUGGAGUCUAAUCCAGAUGUAUUGCUUAAUCACAAUCGACUACAGUGGAUAUUACAAUUCCAAAAUAGCCUUCUGGCAGACAGAGUUCAUUCUGCCCCGUGCAUAAAUCCAGAUAGCCUGAUCCGUAUUCCACACAGUUGUAUGUUCACAGUUGCAGACAAUAGUUUUCCAUUAGAGGAAGUGAUUCUCUGUGGAGCAUCAGGCCAAGCCUCAGACAAUAACACAGCAGCCUAAAGCUCACAACUCCAGCUAGCGGAGUCAAAUCUCAUCACCUCCAGGGGCUGGUUCCCACUCUGAAGAGGCUUAAACGACAGUCUUAUCUGAAGUAAGCUUGUCCAAGUUAAUAAAGUAAGAACACUUAUUUGAUUAAGAAUGCAUACAAAGGAGAAUGUAGCGAUCCGAGACUAGGAGACAAGUCAAUUUCAACUCUAGGAUACCAAGCAAUGCAUCCUGAUCAGACCACACAUCUGUGCAGCGCAGUUAGAAAGGAUAUGCCAUCAAAUCUCAGUAUUCUUCUUCCUACCAGUGGUGUGGUGCAUGUACUCAUUAGUUUCUGACUAUUUAAAAUUAUUUUGGUUAUUGCAAAUAAAACAGUUUCUGUGCACCAGUUAAAAUAGCAUCAAAGUGUGACUUUUUGUAGGGGCAUUGCAUUUGUUUCCAGGAUUAUUAGUCAUAUCUGUUUAAACUAUGCUCACACAGUCCUGUAAACAAAGCAAGUUACAUGACUACAUGUUGCUAGCAGUCAUAUUAGAUGGUUAGUUAAAAGAAAAAUAUAAAGGUAAUAACAAACCUGAUUGUUUAAUCUGCUUCAGACAGCGCAAAUGCUAAGUGACUGAUGCCACAUCUAAUAAAUUAGGGCUUAUAUGUACAAAACUUAUGUUAAAAAAACAGCACUGGCAAAAAUCCCCCUGCUCGGUCUCCUCACAUCACCAGCAUUUAUUAAUA